AUUGAACGCUGGCGGCGGGCCUAACACAUGCAAGUCGAGCGGAGCGGCGGACGGGUGCGUAAUGCCUAGGAAUCUGCCUGGUAGUGAGGGAUAAAUUCCGGGAACGGGCGCUAAUACCGCAUACUUUCAAAGGAGCCUAGGUCGGAUUAGCUAGUUGGUGGGGGAAAGGCUUACCAAGGCGACGAUCCGUAACUGGUCUGAGAGGAUGAUCAGUCACACUGGAACUGAGACACGGUCCAGACUCCUACGUGAGGCAGCAGUGGGGAAUAUUGGACAAUGGGCGAAAGCCUGAUCCAGCCAUGCCGCGUGUGUGAAGAAGGUUUUCGGAUUGUAAAGCACUGUAAGUUGGGAGGCGUUACCAACAGAAUAAGCACCGGCUAACUUCGUGCCAGCAGCCGCGGUAAUUC
rnacentral:rRNA from 1 species